rnacentral:rRNA from 1 species
GGCUCAGGAUGAACGCUGGCGGCGUGCCUAAUACAUGCAAGUCGAACGAGGUGCUUUUGUAGCAAUACGAGAGUAUCCUAGUGGCGAACGGGUGAGUAACGCGUUGGUGACCUACCCCAAAGUGUGGGAUAACAGUCCGAAAGGAUUGCUAAUACCGCAUGUGGUCUUCGGAUUUAGAAACUGAUGACUAAAGGAGCAAUUCGCUUUGGGAGGGACCUGCGUCCCAUCAGCUAGUUGGUGAGGUAACGGCUCACCAAGGCGACGACGGGUAGGGGACCUGAGAGGGUGGCCCCCCACAAUGGAACUGAAACACGGUCCAUACACCUACGGGUGGCAGCAGUAGGGAAUAUUGCUCAAUGGGCGAAAGCCUGAAGCAGCAACGCCGCGUGUGCGAUGAAGGCCUUCGGGUCGUAAAGCACUUUUCUGAGAGAUGAGAAAGGACAGUAUCUCAGGAAUAAGUCUCGGCUAACUACGUGCCAGCAGCCGCGGUAAAACGUAGGAGGCAAGCGUUAUCCGGAUUCACUGGGCGUAAAGCGCGUGCAGGCGGUUCGGUAAGUUGGGCGUGAAAUCUCCCGGCUCAACUGGGAGAGGUCGUUCAAUACUACCGAACUUGAGAGCAGAAGAGGAAGAUGGAAUUCCCGGUGUAGUGGUGAAAUGCGUAGAUAUCGGGAGGAACACCAGUGGCGAAGGCGAUCUUCUGGUCUGUUUCUGACACUCAGACGCGACAGCUAGGGUAGUAAACGGGAUUAGAGACCCCGGUAAUCCUAGCCGUAAACGAUGUGAACUUGGCGUUGGUGGGUUAAACUCCAUCAGUGCCGUAGCAAACGCGAUAAGUUCACCGCCUGG